AUUGAACGCUGGCGGCAUGCUUUACACAUGCAAGUCGAACGGCCGCGCGGGCUUCGGCCUGGCGGCGAGUGGCGAACGGGUGAGUAAUGCAUCGGAACGUGCCCAGUCGUGGGGGAUAGCCCGGCGAAAGCCGGCUUAAUCCCGCAUCCGACCUGAGUGUGAAAGCGGGGGACCGAAAGGCCUCGCGCUAUUUGCGCGGCCGAUGUCGGAUUAGCUAGUUGGUGGGGUAAAGGCUUACCAAGGCGACGAUCCGUAGCUGGUCUGAGAGGACGACCAGCCACACUGGGACUGAGACACGGCCCAGACUCCUACGGGAGGCAGCAGUGGGGAAUUUUGGACAAUGGGGGCAACCCUGAUCCAGCCAUGCCGCGUGCGGGAAGAAGGCCUUCGGGUUGUAAACCGCUUUUGUUCGGGAAGAAAUCCUCUGGGCUAAUACCCCGGGGGGAUGACGGUACCGGAAGAAUAAGCACCGGCUAACUACGUG
rnacentral:rRNA from 1 species